GACGAACGCUGGCGGCGUGCUUAACACAUGCAAGUCGAACGGAAAGUCCCUGCUUUUGUGGGGUGCUCGAGUGGCGAACUGGUGAGUAACACGUGAGUAACCUGCCCUUGACUUUGGGAUAACUUCAGGAAACUUGGGCUCAUACCGGCUAGGAGCUCCUGCUGCAUGGUGGGGGUUGGAAAGUUUCGGCGGUUGGGGAUGGACUCGCGGCUUAUCAGCUUGUUGGUGGGGUAGUGGCUUACCAAGGCUUUGACGGGUAGCCGGCCUGAGAGGGUGACCGGACAAAUUGGGACUGAGAUACGGCACAGACUCCAACGGGAGGCAGCAGUGGGGAAUAUUGCACAAGGGGCGGAAGCCUGAUGCAGCAACGCCGCGUGCGGGAUGACGGCCUUCGGGUUGUAAACCGAUUUCGCCUGUGACGAAGCGUGAGUGACGGUAAUGGGUAAAGAAGCACCGGCUAACUACGUG
rnacentral:rRNA from 1 species